rnacentral:lncRNA from 1 species
UAUAUAUUAUACUAAACUCAAAUGCUUAUGUAAGGGUUGUGUUUAGAGUGUUUGAAUAAAAUGUAAGUACAUUGCAGAUACUAACAAUCAAAACAAAAAACCAUAAAAUCACAUUUUUGGACAUAUACCAUGUGACACCCGGGCACUCACGAGGUUGGAGAGUGAUUGUCAGUGCAAGAGGCACGUAAAAGAAGCGGCUCCUGGCACGCUUCCAAUGGAAGGGGCACAUCGACGGAUCAAACAUACACCGGAAUGAUAGAGAUCUAAAGACUGUAUAGGUAUUAGACUAUACGGUUGAAGGAUAGCUUAAAGGAAUUAAUUUGGCUACUCAUAUCAAGAAAUGCAUUUGUUUUUCAGUAGCCUAAGCCAUCUAAAAAGUUUUUCCCAGAAAAUAUACAAGUGAGGACAAAGUACAUUGAAAAAUUUCGUGUUAACGUGUGGGACAGUCAAUAUUCUCUAUAAAUUUUACAUAUGAGCAAUUUAAAUAUGAGUAUUAUGGUCAAUUUGCUACCAAUUUGUUAUCUUAGUUGUUAUAUCAGAAUUGAUCUAGACAUUUUACUUUAUUUUAUUUUAUUUUUGUCUGUCUUUUAAAAAUUUAAUUUUUUAAAAAAUGUUUUUCGAUUGUAUUUAAUAGUGAUUGAACCUGAAAAGAUUUGAAUUUGGUAAUCGGUAUGCAUAAAUAACUGUACAUGGUUUUUGUAAGGACUUAAAAUUUAGCUAAAGUAACACUUCUUUUUUUUUAAAAAAAAAUCUAUAUUUUCAGAAUUUAUGAAUUUUAGGAAUUAUAAACUUCGGGUUAUUAUUAAAUAAAUAUAGUUAUUAUAGUUAUUAUUAAAAAUUCACUAAAGAGUGACAUGACAUAUAUCGUAUGAAGUUAAUAUUUGCAUGGCCUCAACUCUUUUCACCUAUUUCAUCUAUUUAUGGUUGGAUAUGACUAACGCCAUGUUUCCAACCACGCAAACUUCAAUUAUUUUCACAAUUUCUUAGAAUUUGUGUGGAUAGAAGGAAUAGCCAAAGUCCAAUAAAAAGAACAAAAUACAAAAAACAAAUAUCUCUUUAAUGUUUGUCAUUUACUAACUUAAGUUCAUAGAAAAGUUUGAUAAAACAUGAGGUGACUAUUUUCUACUCUCUAGGUUGAUGUAUUAUAGUACACAAAUUAUUUUUCAAAUCACCUUUCUCUCAUCCAUGAUUUACUUGUUGCCCUAAUUAUCAAACUUAUACACAAUCCAAACAUUAUUAUUCAAUAUUAUUUUUUCUCUAUGAAUUGUUUACCUCAAUUAAGUCUUCAAAACAAACGUGAAAUGAAUUAUAAAAUUAAUGUAAAAAGUUUUCAAAUAACUCGUUUGUUCUAAAAGAAAAUUCGUCAUUGUUAUUUAAAGCUUACUACUACCAUUUUUUACUCUAGCAAUUGUCAACAAAAUCAAAAUUAAGUUAGUUGUGAAAGAUCUCAAUCAUCUUUUCAUAUAUUUAAUAUCUUCAAACUUGGUUUAUCUCCAAUUUUGACAACAAGCUGAGUAGAAAAAAAUGUUACUAUUAAUAUAUAAUCAUGAUAAUGAUAAAUACUACACUAAAAUUUAGUAUUAUUUACCAUUUAUAUUCAUAAGUAAUUCAUAAAAUCAAUAGAUCAAUAAAUGCUUUUAUGAAAAAAAAUCAAUAAAAAAUUACUCGUAGAAAAAAUAUAAAAAAUAGUUAACUCCGAAUAAAUAUGAAACUUAACAAAUUCAUGAGUAAUUUUUGUUGAUUUAGUUUGUUAACGUGUCAGUGAUUUAUCUUUAAGUAAUCACAUACAAAUAAUGUUUAAUCGACUCGUUUAACAUCUAUUAUAUUUAUGCAUAAGUUAUAUAUUAUUUUUCUCAAUUAAUUAUAUAUGUUUACUUGCACGUGUAUAUAUAUCAUUAAAUAUGUUUCUCGUACUCAAAUUAUUAUUGAAAAUUUGUUCUUAAACUAAAUUAUAAAGUAUUUAGUUCUUACAAUUUAUCAAACUCAUGUAAAACAUUCCCGCAACAAAAGGGCAUGUGAAAUAUUUUUAAGUCAUAAGAAAAGUUUAAUAAUGGACUAUAAAAUAACAUCCAUGUGCUAUUUGUUGGAGAUGUUGUAUGACUUUCACAAAAUAAGUAAGGACUAAAUACUUUAUGGUAACAAAACUCAAUGUUUUAUUAUAGAUUGAGUUGUUGUUUAUUAUCUUGGUGAUUAUUUUGUUGUUAAAAAAUAAUUUGUAAAAUUGAGAAGAUUCACUUGGAAGACACAAACACCAAUGACAUCUGAGUCUAGUCAUAUAAGGGAUUGAUAUCAUUCUGUAUAAAAAACCUUAAGGUAAUGAAUCAAUGUGGAACUUAGACUCACACUUGGAUUUCCAAAAUAUCUCACGUCAUUAAUCUCCUUUUAAUUAUGAGUUUGACUAGAGGAUGCUUGGCCACAUUAUUAAUUGGCAUGAAGAAGAUAUCCAACAACAUUGUAACAUCUCCUUUAUAUUUUUCAUUCAUUCUUACCACCCAACAUUGAUUGGUAGGUGUGAAUUUUGAGACACCAACAUAAGAUGUAGACUUAAACCUUGGUUAGUAUAUUUCAUUCCUAAAAUCUUCCCAUUAAAACAAAUUUGUAGUAAAUAAAUGAAAUUGAAAAGAGAGCAUGCAAGAAACAAGUAAUUCUUGGAAAUAUUUAUAAAAAUUGAAGUAUUUGCAAUAUUUUAAGUUAUUUAAGAAUAAGAUAGACUCUAAUUUUUGGAUGAAAUAUUUUCUGAAGAUUGACAAUUCGUGGAGAAUAAAUAUUAGCCAUGUUGCUUUUAAGUUUAUUCCUCAAUCAUACAACCCUUUCUCACUAAGAUAAUAUAUAAUAUAUUUAGUUGUAAAAAAAAUCCUACUUUUUAAGUUUGCACCACAUUUGAAUAUUUUCAAUUUAAUUAUAUAUGUUUUUUUUUUGUGUGUUUGUAUUACGUACAUACAACCCAAAUGACUGGCCUACACUAUACUUAUUAUGACAACUCAUUGGUAUUAUUUUAUAAUUGGUUUUCUACUUUUUCUUCCUUUCAUACGUUCUAUCUGUAUUUAUUUCUCACACUUAAGUGGCAGAUCACAUGACAAAGAUAUGAAUGGUCCAACCUUUGUCGGUUGUUCCUAUCUUUUCACCAGCAAGUCCCAACUUCUCUUUUUUUUUUUCUUAAAAUCUUUUCUUUUCUAUGCUUAUUAUGUCACCAAUUAGUCGCCAUAGUCAUCAUGUAUGGGCAAAGCAUCAUCCUCAGCUAAUUGUUCUUCUUAUAUGCGUUCCAUUGAAGUGCAUUUCAAAAGCUAACAUCAUUGUUUAUGUGACAGUUGUUGUCUUUUUUACAAAAUCAUGUAUGAUUUUCCUUUAGGCAUGGUUUACUCGAGUGAAUUUGAGGAAAAGUAAUUGAACGAAUUUGAGAAGAUUUAAAUGUAAUUUUUUUUGUUUAUUUGAGUGUAUUUGGAAGUAAACGCGAGUGGAUUUAGAAGUAAAGUUUAUGAGAAUUAGUGUAGAAUUUAAUUUAUGUAACAGAUUAAAAAAAUUUACUUCCAAAUUCACUCUCACUCAUCUCUAAAUCUUUUCAAAUAUCAAAAAACAAAUUAUCUUCAAAUUCUCUCAAAUCCUUUCAAUUACUCUCUCCAAAUCCACUCAAGUGAACAAAACCUUAGAGGUGCAAUAAUAAGACAUUUGAUUUAUAAAUACAAAAUACAACGAAUAUCAAAAAAUAUCUUACAUUAUGUUUUUAGUAACACUUUAAAAGACUUUCUACCAAUAAAGAUAUUUUAUGUGUAUAUAAAUCCAUAUCUAUUCUUUUUUGUUUUAUCUAAUAUAGAAUUUUGUUCGUACCAACAAUAAUAUUAUUUACUAUUUUCAACAUAUAUUUUUACUUUUAUGUCCAAACAUACAUACGUAGUGAGAAUAAGAUUAGAUAUUAAUAAAUAACCACUAUCAAAAAUAGAUUGAUAACGAUUUAAUAAUAAUGCACCAUGAUCACAACAACCAAUAUAAAUCUUGUUAUAUUAAUUUUUUUAUGAUUAUAAUAUAUUAUUUAAAUGCAAUUCAAUUUUACAAAAUGAUUCAUACAGUUUAUCCUCACUUAUAUCCUUUAAUUUUAACUUAUCUAUAAUAUAUAUGAAUUCCAACUAUACACUGUUUAAAAUCCAGACCCUUCUAAGAAGAGCAAACAGAUCGAGAUUGGACAUGAAUCUGUUCUGCAAAUUAACGUAGUUUUGCAGGGAUGCAGCAACAUUAAGAAGAUUAACAUUAUGGUUUGGUUGUCGCAUGCGUCAGCACGAAUUCCUGAUUCUUAUAAUUUCGAUUGGUAUGAUUGAGGUGCUGUCAUGUUAGUUUCCGUGUGAGAUGCUACCAUAGAAGGACACGUAUAGUAGUUCCUGCUGAAAGACACGACAAGUGUAACCACAAAUGAUCCUUUAACAACCUAAAAGAUAAUUACGUUGUUUGUCAUAUUGUGAAGUCGUGCCCAUAAAUUGUGUUGGUGAAGUUCAAAGAUUUGACAUGCGUAGUCACAGAUUGUCUUUUCCCAACCCAACAUACACAGAAAUAGUAAGGUUAUGGAGGCACAUAAGGAGAAGAGAGAGGAAAUGGAGAUGAAAAGAGGAUCAAAGAAUAGUAACAAGGAAGAAAAGGGAUCAAAGGGUGAAACAGUGAGCAAAAGGAUGAUUGGUGAGUCAAUAAUAUCAGAUGGUGGCGACAAACAGAGAGCUCAAACACCACAUGAUGUGUUGGUUUUCUCCCGUUGCGUUCGUAACAUCGAUUCUUCCAUAGAAUGAUCCAUGGAUUAGGGUUAAGCAAGAUUUCUUGUUCAAUUAUCAUAUCGUUUAUUAUCUAAAAACUAAUUAUUGAGUAUGUUAGAAGUGGGUUUUUAGGCCUAACUCAACCCUAUAAAAUCGGCUUGUAAGGUGAGGUUUGCACCUCACUUAUAUAUUAUAAUUUGACCUUAUCUUUAGUCGAUGUAAGACUUUGUUUUUACUGAUUUCAUUUUUAUCUAGUAGACGAAAGACUGAUUGUACAGCUAAGCUAAAAUAAUGUUAUGGUUGAUACGGAUUUCUUAAUUUAUCAUUACAUGCACAAAAUGUGUAAUUACCAUGUUAACUUUAAGUUAAUUUUUUUAUGUUGAUAAGGGAGCAGGGUUAGCGUUGAAUAAUUUUUAAUAAAUUAAGAUUAAUAGUAAGUAAACACUGAAAUCAAUUUCUUAGGGUUUUUACCUUUUCCCUGUAUAUAACAUGAGUUUAGUUUUGAAGGUUCAUUGUUAUCACAGUUUAGAAGGAUGGAUCGAAUCCAUAUAUCAAUCAGAUAACACCUGCACGGGAAGAAGCUGUCCGACUAUAAUAAUAUAUUCACUUUUGUUACAAACUAAGCAAUUUUUCUUUUAAGAAAAUAAAAAGAUAAAAUAUUAUCUAAAAAACCUCAUAAUUUUUUAAUAUUUUCUGUAAUUUUCAAU